CCCGAGCAAAAUCAAUGUGGCAAAUGUGGUAGACUUGGACACAACUCGCGUACUUGCCAUUGGCCGCUAAGUCAGGAUGGAGCAGUUCCACCUCCUGGAUCCAUACUACGAGGUGAAGCACCGAGGACGACUCACUGCCGAGGGGGCGGAACUACCCCCGCUUCGACCUCGAACGCAUGACAAGUUCGAGGAGAUGCGGUAUGACGACAGGUACACACCUCUGCUGCAGAGGGCUGGCCUGGAUGUCAUA